ensembl:ncRNA Y40C5A.20 ncRNA
AUGGUGGGUGAACAAUCAACUGAAAUAGGCGCAAUUCUUUCCCUCUCUGCCAAAAAAUGUGAUAAGAGAAUCUUUCUUUGGUGCCUUCUUCUUCUUAACAACAUCUUAUCAGUUUUU